GAUAAAAUUUUUAAUUUUAGGAAAAUUUUCAAAACUUUGCUAAUGACUAUGAUGCACAUUAUUUUGGAUGUAAAUUUGAUAUGCCAGUAAAAGUUCCUGGAAAGAAUGCUUUGGAUCUCAAUGAAGAAUACCAUCAACUAUACUUUUGGGGUGAGCUUGAUAAAGACACGGGCAUUCCCAUUUUGCCAGAAAAAACCGAGAUAUCUGAAAAGGCUCACAAUCUUGAGACAUUUGCUGAUGAGCGCUUUUCAAAUUCUGGUCCGAAGAACAGUCUGAGUCUGCUUUCUCUUCUUUGUAUAUUUAUAUUGUAUUUGGUACAUUGAUUAUUGCAUGUGUGAAAAAAUUUCAUUUAUACAAAUAAUUGUACAUCAUUAAAAUAUGUAAAUAUUCCAAAUUCUUAUUUGCUUCUGUAAGAAGUUGUGUUGUAAAAAGCACUGGAUACUUUAUUAGAACAUUCCAGGUUGUUCUGUUAUGUAAACUUGAUUUCAUUUGAUGAUUAUUAUGUAAAAAAAAA